ACUUAACCCUCUUCUUAAGGUUCUCUUUAUUUUGGUAAUAAUUCAUUGGAAUUGAUAUUGUGCUUAAGAAUUUUCAUUCUUGUUUUGUUACUUAAAUUGUUGGUUUUACUGGUUCCUAAUUGUUUGUACUUCCAGGCUGCUCUAAUUGCUUUGUCUGCCCAUGCUGUUGACCCUAGUGAAGCAAAGAGGCUUAAGUUCUUGUCAUCCCCUCAGGGGAAUUUUCACAUACAUGCCCCACCUUUUUUAGUAACUGAAGGGCUUGAAAUCCAAAUUCUCUAGGAUGAGCAAGAAGAAGCAGCAAUUAAUGCAGAGAGUAAUGCUGCUUGCAGAAUCAAUGUACGAGUACAAGGUAUGAUGUUCCUGAUCUUAGAGGGUUCCCUUCAAUGCAGGCCUUGGGAAUGAGGCUGUUGAAGAAGGUUGAUAGACCUGAAUACAAGUUAUGUUUUCUCACAUGAUUUCACACAAAAAUCAUAGUAGAUGCACA